UGUGGAGUUUAUUUUGAGAUCACAUUUGCUCUUCUUUUCAACUCUCUGCCACACUGUUUUUAGGCUUCUUGCAUUAGAUACUGCUGCCAAGCAUCAGGGUUUUUGCUGAUAAACAAAUCUGAGAUCAGAUUAGGGUCUCUGAUACAAGAGUCCUUUUAAACUAGCAAUGGAAAAGAAAACUUCAGAAGUUUCAAAAUUCAUGCCUAGCAUCAGAUCUCGAUUGAAUUUUGUUUGUUUAAAUCUUAUAGACUCUUAUCUUCCACGCAGCACUGCGAGGAGGGGGGAUGUUAAGAGAAGGUUGUAAUUGCAAUAAAGUCCCAGUACAUCAGCAAAGAUUCUACCAUAGAUAGUCCAAAUCUGCUUUCUCAAAUCUUGUAUAGUUUAGUUGUAGAUAAGCCUACUUCCCUAAUACAAUCUUGGGUUGCCAUCUCGGUACCGGACCCUAUACCAGUACCAUCCUCUUACAGUGUUGUUACGCGGUACGUAUGGUAUGCCUAGCAUGGUACAGUACCAUACUGGCCGGUACAA
rnacentral:lncRNA from 1 species